rnacentral:hammerhead_ribozyme from 1 species
CUCUCUGACGAGUCCGAAAUAAGACGAAACGCGUGUCCUGGAU